rnacentral:lncRNA from 1 species
CGUCUCGCCCGACCCUGUCUGUUUCGCCGACCCUUAUCCGCCUCGCCCGAGUGCUCGGCUAUAUCUUUUUCUUUGACCCGAGGGUAUCUAUGUAAAAUUUUGGGGACUUCUCUGUGUUAAGUCUGAGGACCAAGGUAUAGUUAUUCCUUAGGUCUAAGGGUCAGAUCAUAAGUUUCUCCCAAUCCGACCCUUUUAUCCUGUUCUCCACCAACCGAAG